AUUUCGGAAUGUUAAGUCUAAUUUAUGACGAUAUGAACUUGUGGUGAAUAGUUGAAGUUCUGAUUGUAUAAUUUAUUUAGCUUGUGGAUUUAUAAAUGUUGUUCAUGUUUGUCAAGUUGGCUUGGGUUGCCAUAAAUGUGAAUUAUCGAGUGAUGUGAUAUAUGAUUAUAAACUGCACAGGUUUUAUAGAUGUGAAUUUGAUAGAAUGUUUUCAGUGUCCUCAAAUGUUAGUUUGGAUCCUAGUUUGGUCUGUGAUGAAAAUUUUAAAAAUCAUGGAUAUUUUGAGGGGCGUGACAAUUUGUGCUGGUAUUUUUCGAUGAUAUUCUCGUUUACAGCCCUUCUCUUAAGACUCACUUUCAGCAUUUACGGAUUGUUUUGACGAUCCUUCGGGAAAAUACUCUUUUUGUUAAGCAACCAAAGUGCAGCUUUCUCCAGCAAAAAGUAGAGUACCUUGGGCAUAUAAUAUCAGAAGAAGGAGUGGCGAUAGACCCAACAAAAAUUAAGGCAAUGCAAGGCUGGCCGAAACCUAAGGAGUGUCUAUUGUAGGUAGUUUAUUGAGAAGGGCCUACCAUGUACAUAAGGAGUGUCUUUGUGAUCCCGGUCGAUCCCAUGUCCAACUGCUUGGGACCCACCUGUUAUUUCUUUGCCUAAUUUGAUUCCAUGCGGAUGUGGCACUAAAUUUGCCAUUGUCAUGAGGCCAAAUAAGUAUACCUGAAGAGUUGUUCCUGAUUGGAAUAGCUAUGAUAGUCGGCCAAAGUGAUAACAUUUCGGGAGAAAUAGGAUUAGGGAGACACCAGGUACCGUUAGCAAUAAACUCGGAAACCUUCCAAUCUUUGGGAGCCCCAAGAUCUUUUCGUAUUAUGUCGCCAUAUAAUUGAAAUAUACUCUUCCCAUUCACCCAAGGAUCGUACCACAUAUUAGUACUAGUUCCAGAAGAGAUUGCAUAAGAAAUGUGUUUGAUUAGCCAAUUCCUUGCCUUUAAAAUUCCUUUCCAAGCUGCAGAGUGGUAUGUUCUUGUUAAAAUUUUCCAGAUUGAUUCCUUUGAAAGAUACCUAGCAGAAACCCAUUGUGACCAUAAGGAACAUUUGUUUUGCAAAAGAUCCCACAAUUGUUGUACCAGGCAUGCUUGUUUCCAAUCUCUAGUAUUUCUCAAGUUUAGCCCCCCUUCAUCUUUCGGUUUGUAAAUGCUAUCCCAUUUUACCAUAUGCAUUGCCUUAUCAUUUGUGCCAUUCCAGAAGAAGUUCAUUAAUAACCGUUCAAUAUCUUGGAGAAGUCCAGCAGGCAGAAGAAAUGCAUUACACCAAUAUAUAGAGUAGGAGUGCAAUACAGAACGGAUGAGUUCGAGUCGUCCUGCUUUUGAUAGAAGCCUAUUUUUCCAAGAAGAAAUUCUAUUCUUUAUUUUUUGCAGGAUAGGCUGACAGUGGGUUUUGUGGAUACUUGUGGAUAUGAGCGGGAGACCCAAAUAAGGAACUGGCAGGCUUCCCUCACUAACCCCCAAAGUGUGUGCAAUAAAGACCUUAUCCUCAACGUAAGGGCUCAUAUAUACUUUACUUUUCGCAUGAUUUAACUGAAGUCCAGAAAUCAUACCAAAGUCAUUCAUAAUAGUAGCCAGGUUCUUUACUGAAGUUGGAUCAUUUUGGAGAAAGAUAAGUAAAUCAUCUGCAAAUGUUAUAUUUGAUAUAUGAAUAGAGCCAGCAUUGGGUACCUUAAUGCUGCCAUUUAAGACUGCAUGUUCCAACAUACAGCUAAGUCCUUCCAUCGCAAUAGUAAAGAGAUACGGAGAGAGUGGAUCACCUUGUCGGAUGCCAUUCGUGCUCCCGAAAAAACCAAUAGGUGAGCCAUUAAAGAGUAUCGAAAACUUUGGAGUUUCCAGGCAAGAUUGAAUCCAACUAACCCAUUGCUGUGGGAAGUUCAUAUCGAGGAGCAUCUUAUAGAUAAAUUUCCUAUUAACUGAAUCAAAGGCUUUCCGUAAAUCAGCUUUAAAACAUAUUUUUGUCCCUCUUGCUUUUGAAUGCAAAUCUUUGACCAAGUCAUUAGCAAGCAAAAUGUUAUGAUGUAUACUUCUCCUUUUGAUGAAAGCAGCUUGAUUUGAGCUAAUGAUCUUGUGUAUUACCUUUUGCAUUCUAUUUGCCAAUACUUUUGUACCACCAAUGAAAUUUUGUACAUCAUAUAUCUUCUCCGUUUGCAUCAUUCAUUUUUCUACCACCAAUGAAAUUAGGUCUACUAUGCUUCCGCUGCGCCACUCUGAUUCAAUAUCCCCGAUUACCGCUUUCAUCCCACUUAAUUAAUCAAAAUCAGAUGAAGUAGGAGGACUAAAUGUCAUCGUCAUCCUAGAUUCCUAAAAUACAUCAAAGAAAAUUUUCACUAAUCACUAUAAUUCACUAGACCUCAAUAUAUUUUGCACGUCAACAUAUCAAAUAUUUCAGUGAUCCUCAAACCAUGCUCUGAUACCACCUCUGUCACGCCCCUCAAAUAUAUCCAUGAUUUUUAAAAAUUUCGUCAUAGACCAAUCCAGGAUCGAAACUAACGUUUGAGGACACUAAAAAAUAUUCAAUCAAAUUCACAUCCAUAAAACCUGUGCAUUUUAAAAUCAUAUAUCACAUCACUCGAUAAUUCACAUUUAUUGCAACCCAAGCCAACUUGACAAACAGGAACAACAUUUAUAAAUCCACAAGCUAAAUAAAUUAUACAAUCAGAACUCCAACUAUUCACCACAAGUUCAUAUCGUCAUAAAUUAGACUUAACAUUCAGAAAUUCUAAAUAAGAGAGAUCUCCUAACACUUUGACACAGUAUAUCCAUUUCGGUUCAUCGACAACAUUUCAUUACAUACAAAACAUACUUAUACAACAAUAUCAUAAUAACCAACCAGACUUGCCCAUCAUUCUGAAUAGCUAUCCACUGCCUCAGCCCAAAUCAAACAUCUCGAAGAGUGACAAGCUGACCUGAAAGAUUUAUAUAACAACGGAGUGAGCCAUAAACGGCUCAGCAAGUGACAAAGCAUAUUCAG
rnacentral:lncRNA from 1 species